UUUCCGUAGGUGAACCUGCGGAAGGAUCAUUAUUGUAUAACCGAGGUGCGAGGGCUGUCGCUGACCCGAAAGGUCGUGCACGCCCGAGUGCCCUCACACACAUCCAUCUCACCCCUAUUUGCACCACCUCGUGGGUCCCCCUUUGGCUUGUUCGGAGGGGGGCUUACGUUUUCACACAAACUUUGUAUGCAGUGUAGAAUGUAUUUUUUGUUUUUGCGAUCACGCAAUCAAUACAACUUUCAACAACGGAUCUCUUGGCUCUC
rnacentral:misc_RNA from 1 species